rnacentral:lncRNA from 1 species
UAUACUAUCGAUGAAGGUUUACUUGGCACCCACACCUACUGGGGUAAUGUAAAGAUAACUCAACCAAUAAAUUGAUUAAGAAUAAAGGUAAUUAAAUUACCUGACAAAGAAACUUAUAGAAUUCAUUCGGUUUCAAUGGCGAAAGGUAUCUAUCUAUAAAUGUUUAUAGCAUUCGGCAUUCAAAUAUUUCAUGAAAAGCGACGGAUUUAAAGAAGUAAUGCUAUCAAAAAUCGAUCAAUUAUAUUUUAAAAUUAUAACGCAAGUCGUAAGAAUCUUUGUAUAUGUUGGAUUGCAAAACUGUAUUAUUUAAGAAUGAAAACAAAAAGAAAAAGCCUUAACUCGUCUUUACCCACUAACAAAAAAAAAAGAAAAAAGUUAAGUUUAGAAACAAUGAAACUCUUUAAUUAAAGUAACGAAAAAGAGCCACAGGUUUUAAUUAAAAUGGAACUUCUUCGAAAACACAUAAUAAAUGCUAACAAAAAUUACUCCAGGAGGAAUUAAGGUGGACACUGCAUAGCAGUAAUUUUCUCUGUCAAAUCCAUCGCACCCAGAAUUUCUGAAUGAUGCCGUUGGUGUCUACUAUAUACAGGAGGUAAAGCCGUUGGAAUUCGAAGUGCUGGAGCGAGACUUUCGACACCCAAUAAAUACAGACAGACUAAUGAAGUUGUUUUUCUCUCAAUGUAAGCCAUGUAAAGUUCAUGUUUUAGUUCGGGAAUACUUGCUAAACCAUGCUCAUGUAACAGCUGUAAAACCUUUAAAUUAAAAGGCGGUUUGAAAACAUGAGAUCGGAUUGAAGGCGUUGAGGGAAUAGAGGUUAAGGGAAUAGGCAGAUACAAACAAAACGAAUUUUUUUUUAACCAGGGAAAUUUUGCUGCUUGUUCUAAAGAACAGCGCUUCCGUGGGUUUACAUUCAGCAUAGCUGCAAUAAGAGAACAACAAUCUUCUGAAAUGUAAGAAGGAAACUCCAGUUUACCCGACUUUAUUUUUGAAUGGAGCAUAGGAACGGAAACGUCGUCAAAUGGGACUCGUCCACAAACCAUAACAUAAAUCACUACUCCCAGGCUCCAAACAUCAACCUCUGGGCCUAUGUACGGCUUUGCAUCAAGUAAUUCUGGGGCCGCAAAAUAAAGACUCCCACAGUAUGUACGUAAUAAAUCGUCUUUACUAUAAAAAUUACUGAGGCCAAAGUCAAUUAGCUUCACCUGACGAGAAUCCUGAGUUAAAAGAACAUUCUCAAUUUUUAAGUCUCUGUGUACAAUAAAAUUCUUGUGAAGAUAAACCAAUGCAUUAAUCAACUGCAUAGCAAAACUCCUAGCCAAAUCUUCAUCGAGUUUGCCACGAGCAAGGAUGUACUCCAAAAGUUGUCCUCCAGGAACGUAUUCGAACAGUAUGUAAGUACAUGCAGGCGUCCGGAUACAGUCUAUUACCCGGCAUAUGUUGGGAUGUCUCAAUAAACGACCUAAAAGUGCCUCCCUUUGAACACGAACUGUCUGACUUGUAUUAUUAGGAGUAAAGGGAAUCAUUUUGAGAGCUGCUUUCUCUCCUGUUAAAAUAUUUACAACGAGUUUAACCUUUCCCAUACUGCCAGCACCAAUUGUUUUCUUGAUAAUCCAGUUUCCAACUUGUCGACCAGGACCAGCUGUGCCAACGAAAUCAGAUAUAGACCUUUGAUGUUUUGUAGACUGAUUUAUUUUUAUAUUCUGAGAGCGUUUAGGAAUAGAGAAAGUAUCCCAGCACUCAUUCCUUAGGUUAGUUGUGUUCGGUUUCAUCUUCUCAGCUGUAAAAGGAAUUUAUGAACAAAAUUGUGCUUAAAUAAUUCAAUUACAAAUGAAGUUAAGAAAGGAAGAAGUAGUGUCUUAGAUAAA